UACGGAGGGUGCAAGCGUUAUCCGGAUUUAUUGGGUUUAAAGGGUGCGUAGGCGGUAUAUUAAGUCAGUGGUGAAAUUCUGCAGCUUAACUGUAGGCUUGCCAUUGAAACUGAAGUACUUGAGUUAACUUGAGGUAGGCGGAAUGUGUAGUGUAGCGGUGAAAUGCUUAGAUAUUACACAGAACACCGAUUGCGAAGGCAGCUUACUAAGGGUACACUGACGCUGAGGCACGAAAGCGUGGGGAUCGAACAGG
rnacentral:rRNA from 1 species